rnacentral:rRNA from 1 species
UGAGGAAUAUUGGUCAAUGGGCGAGAGCCUGAACCAGCCAAGUAGCGUGCAGGAUCACGGCCCUAUGGGUUGUAAACUGCUUUUAUGUGGGGAUAAAGUGCGUGACGUGUCAUGCAUUGCAGGUACCACAUGAAUAAGGACCGGCUAAUUCCGUGCCAGCAGCCGCGGUAAUACGGAAGGUCCGGGCGUUAUCCGGAUUUAUUGGGUUUAAAGGGAGCGUAGGCUGUCUAUUAAGCGUGUUGUGAAAUAUACCGGCUCAACCGGUGGCUUGCAGCGCGAACUGGUCGACUUGAGUAUGCAGGAAGUAGGCGGAAUUCAUGGUGUAGCGGUGAAAUGCUUAGAUAUCAUGACGAACUCCGAUUGCGCAGGCAGCUUACUGUAGCAUAACUGACGCUGAUGCUCGAAAGUGCGGGUAUCAAACAGG